rnacentral:rRNA from 1 species
UACAGAGGUCCCAAGCGUUGUUCGGAUUCACUGGGCGUAAAGGGUGCGUAGGUGGCCGGGUAAGUUCGGUGUGAAAGCUCGGAGCUUAACUCCGAAAUGUCAUUGAAUACUAUCUGGCUGGAGGGUCGGAGGGGAGACUGGAAUUCUCGGUGUAGCAGUGAAAUGCGUAGAUAUCGAGAGGAACACCAGUGGCGAAGGCGAGUCUCUGGACGACUCCUGACACUGAGGCACGAAAGCCAGGGGAGCAAACAGG